rnacentral:rRNA from 1 species
CCUUGUACACACCGCCCGUCACGUCAUGGGAGCCGGAAGUGCCCGAAGUCGCCAUAUUUCAGUGGUGCCCACCGGCAAGGCCGGUGACUGGGACG